AAAAAAACAAAAAUCAAGUGUGAGAGAGCGCAAGGAAGAGUGCAGCGGGGCAGGGGUAUAAUGGGAAACCAGAAGCAAAAAUGGACGGUGGAGGAGGAGGGGGGCGCACUGCUAAACGGAGUAGCUAAGCACUGUCCUGGCAAGUGGAAGAACAUUCUCAAAGAACCCAAUUUUGCUCCUUUCCUCACUCAACGCUCCAACAUCGACCUCAAGGUUACUAUGUAUUUACCAUUCUUGCCAUCUUUCUUUACCUCUUGUAUUCACGCACAUAUUCCUUCACCCUAAACCAUUGCAUUAUUUAGGUUUUCAAUGUCGGUUUGGUUCUAAUGUUGAACAUCUUCCGGGAAAUAAGAAAAUUUGCAUUUCGUGAAAAUUUGAUGAAUUUAGGUUUUUACUUGUAUUAGUCAAAAACCCUAGGCUUGUGCACGAAUUUACGAGAUUAUGGUUUUUCAGCUCUAAAUCACUUUUGAAUUGAGCAAUUGCAAGAUAAUAAGUUGCUACUCUGAUUUGAUGAUUUUGAUUACUAGGCUACUGCGUUACAAAGUAAAAAAUUAGGUCACUGUGAUAAAAUCAGGCUUUUAUAUUUUUUGAAGGAACAAUUCAGCGUAGAAAUAACUAAAGAAAUGGUUGGUGUUGUACAAGUAGCUACAGUGAUUUGGAUGGAGAAAGGUAGUAGUCAGAUUAUGUGUGCACUUUCUCUAGGCAGGAGGCUAGGGUUUAAUUUUGAGGAAAGUUGGAUAUCUAUUUUUAUGUUUCAAUUAUAAGUUGAAAUUAAAGGGGGUUUUAUGUUAAAUGUAGGUGGAAGGGCUUUCUAGGAGGCCAUGGCGGAUGUAAGUGGAGACAAGCAGGACAAAUGGCGGAAUUUAAGUGUUAGUAAUGCUGCACAAGGUUCUAAGGAUAAAUCAAGGGGUCCUAAAGUUAAAAC
rnacentral:misc_RNA from 1 species